rnacentral:other from 1 species
ACAUCCCUGCAGUGUUCGCUACGGUCAUAUAUUCCUUGAACCAAUGCGAUGCAUCAGGCAGAGUAAAGCGUUUGCCGCUGUUGUGAGCGUCCCUUCGUCGGAUGAACCUGAUGUGGCAACCCAUUCUGCCGACCUGAACUGAAUCACGGUUCAGGAUGCCGGCCGAACGGCACAGGCGGGGUUCCA